GCUUGAUUAGUCUAGCUGGUAGGACGCCCGCAUUCUAUUUGAAACUUGGGUAACCCAGGUUCGAGUCCUGGAUCGAGCAACUUUUC
rnacentral:tRNA from 1 species